rnacentral:lncRNA from 1 species
GGAAAUCGUAGUUCAACUCUGUUGCAUCAGUCAUGUUCUUUUCUGCAGCUGCUAGAACUUGCCUUGCUGUCUUAGCUUGGUUUUCAAUGUUAGGGUUGGUCUCAAGCAGCCUCCUGGCAAAGUUUGCAGCGGUGGCGAGGUUCUUGGCCUUGUAGCAGACAGUCAUUGCAUUCAGCAAAGCAAGCCGCAAGUGAGGUGUCUGAAGAUUGCAGUGGGUGAAAUAUGCUGCAAGCUCUUGCUGGCGGGCUGGGUCGUCCUUAAUUUCCCUUCUUUUCAG